UUUAUUAAAAGAAAAAGGGGUGAAAAGAACAAAGUUUUGUCCAUCUUUGUUCAUCAUAGCCUAAAGUUAGAGAAGAGAAAGGAGAGGAGAAAGCUCUUGAAUGUUCGGUCACUUGGGGAAGAAAAUUGAAGGCGGUUCGUGUGUGGAUCUCGUCAGUAUAUCGUCGCAAACAGGAAAUCCCCAACCAUAGUGGGCUUGGAGCUGUGAGGGGAUUCGGAGUGGCCACCCGUUCUGAAAGUUUGAUUUUCUUCUGGUGAACUGGACAUCCUUUUAUUUACGUUUGAAGUUUUUGGGCUUUUAAAUAUAAUAAGGCCGCUUAAUUAUUUUUGAUGGUUUUAAUAUGUAUUACUAAGAUAGGUAAUACUUAUUUUAACUGUUGAAAUUGGAUAGCUUUAGGGCGCGUUUUCAAAAACAACAGUUGAUUUCAAAAUAACACGACAACAAGCAAAGCUUCCGCAAUGAAAGUAUUUUCCAAAAUUAAUCACUUUUCCUAAAAAUGACUUAAUCGAAUCGGUUUCCUAGAAAUAUCCAUGACGUUAAGGUGUGGCAAUGGCGGUAUGCAUGUCUAGGAUUGGAUCCGAAGGGAGCUUGGUACUUAAGCAGUC